rnacentral:lncRNA from 1 species
GACAACCCGAGAAAUUAGAAAAUUAUUAAAAUCUUAAAUGAUUGGUUUAAGGUCAAAUAAUAGACCUAGACAGAGAAUAAGUGUAUGUGUUUGAUGUUUUCAGAAAGGAAUUUUGAGGAUUUAAAAUUUCUUUUAGUGAAUUAUUAAGGAUUAAAGGUAUAUGAGUAUAUGUUCAGGAUUACGGUAUCAUGUAUACAGAAUGUGGUUAAGGGUCAAGUGUUGACCAGAUAAAUUAUAUCUGUGUCAAACCCUAAUAUUAUUAGAACGUCAACGUUCAUUUAUAAAAUUAUUACGUUUGACAAGAAACCCUAGAAAUCGGUUCUGGAAACCCUAAUUUUAAUACCGGGAAUUCGAAACCCUAAUUUCAAAUUAUCGAAC